AAAUGCACAGAAUGUGUUUGAAAGCAGCAACAACCCGGUAACAGCAGUUGUCUGUGGGGAGGAAGACAGGGCGGGUAGAGGAUAGAUGUUUUUGUACUGCCUUCAAGUUAGAGCCCUGUAUCACCCAUUCAAAGAAAGGCACGCCAUGUAAAUAAAAAUACAGGACUGAGUUCUGAGGACCCUCCCCCUGCACCCUCCUGCCUUGGGGGAGGAUGAAGAGGAAAAAAAGCCUAAGGAAGCCCCAAAGGAAAGAAGCAAAAAUCAAAUCUAGGAGAGGCCCCUUUAAGAAGGGAAACUUGCCUCCUCCAGAAAAAUGAUGUGAGGCUGUGAGGCAAGCUGAGCGCCUGGGCAGACGGGACAGUCGUCCUGGGUUUUGACUUUUAUUAAUACUCGUGUGUUCUGGGAGAUCUAGAGAGGAAAAGAGCGACUUCCUGCAGCUAAUGAGGUUUGAACUGUUAGGGUUCUUACUUCCUCUGUCUAGAUCCCGUGGGGGGAGGGUUUGUGAUACACUGUUAAUUUGGCAUGAAAGUCAAGCCUGGAGUGAAAAUCUGCCCAUCUGCGAAUUGUGAGUAACUGCUUCACCAAGCUGGCACUCUCAGCCCUGGUCCAUAGAAACAACCUCAGCGAAGGUACCAACAAACAGCCCUAGCAGAUGAAGAAACUGAAGAAAAGAGGAGUUAAGUAACUGGCCCAGCGUCCCACAUCUCCCUCCAGAAAAAAAGAAAAGGGACACCAAGAAGAAUGGGCAGGUCAUGGCUGGAGCAAGAGGAAGGUGUCCAAAAUUUCUAGAGAGGGAGGAAAGAAUGGGAGGCUCUCCGGGAAACCGCAAGGACUUUGGCAAGGAGGGGAGGGUCUCUGUGAACCUGGAUCCUUCCGCCUGGAAAAGGAACGUCGUAGGUGUGCUCAGAGACGGCACCCACUUGGAUUUCGAGGAGCUGUACUUUGGGACUGUCCAGCCGGAGGUGAACGGAGGUGGUGUGUCGGAGCCUGGGCCCAGCUGUCAGAUCUGGGCUGGUGCUGCACGUGCUUAGGAAAGAUCAUUCUGCAAGUGCUGGCCAUUCACCAUCAUCGAACAAAACAGCAAACGGAACAAAAUCCGCGCCCCACCCCCCAAAAGGGUGUAAGGAGAGGGAGCUCGAAUGACCCACAACAGCCCUCCCCCUGCCACCUUAAUAAAAGAUAUUUAUGGCGGCUUC